AUAAGUAACCAUAGUGGAGACGAAGCAGCCCUUUAUCAUAUUGUUUCCAAGCAAAAGCACAUUCCAAGUUUCAAGUGGGAAUCGUGGAAACACAGCUAGACCACCGCGGUGCCAGCAGGAAGCUGUCCAUUCCAGAAUAAUUGAUUAUAUGAAAUUCAAAUGGCUUAAGAGAAACAUUUCAGUUGAAGCCCAAGACAAAACCUGAAAGAAAAAAGACUAGAAGAAGCUUCAAAAUGUCAAGUACUCUCUUAUUCUAUCUCCACAGAAGCUAAAACGUCUGAUGGACUAAAGCAUGAAGUUAAGGAAAAGAAUCACAUAAAAGAAUCACAACUAAGAAAAUACAAAUAAUGAAAAUGUUAAGGGAGAAAGAUUAUAAGAAUCAGGUCAUGCCAAAAGCAGUAUUUCAUUAAGAGGAAGAAAUACAGUUUGAGCAUAAAUCGGUUGUUUGACCAUCCCAAUUUAAUGAACAAGAGUGAAUCACAUGCAUAUAUUGAAAAAGAUUUGCAGUCUUGAUGAUUUUGACUACAAAAUGCGGACAUCAACAAGGACAACAGACUCACAAUAGCCCAUUACCACAAGGAAAUUGAGUAAACAAUGUGGGGAAAAAAUAUAGCCAAAAAAAUGUUUUCUUAAAAUAAAUGUAUUAUAGCAAUGUGUUUAA